GUUCCCACACACCAGACUCAACACGACGCUGACACAUCCUCCAACUCCAGACAACCUUCCUUAUCUCUCCCACUUGCCAUUUCUACACUUGACGUGACCCUGCAACACUCCACACUCCACCUGAGAAGCGGUCGGCACGCC